rnacentral:lncRNA from 1 species
UCAAUCCGUCCACCAUCUCACCACCAUCACCAAUCAGGAGAAUAUUGGUUGUUGGCACCUUAGUUUUGACCUCCCAGUGCGGCGUUGUCCUAAGUUUUUCUCCUCUUCCCGUCUUCCGCAGGACCGCAGCCAUUACCUUCUCGGCUUUUCCACCUUGACCCAAGCCAACUCACUCAAUCCAUCCAUCAUCUCACCAGUCACCACCACCGGUUCAUUAGGAUAUUGCUAUCCUCAGGGUUUAGCGACGAUUCGCCACUUGUUUUCGUGAGCAGUUUGCCAUGAGUUCACCAUGAAGCUACCUCAAUAGAGCCAGGGGCUACUACCAUAUCACCGACUAACUACAUAUCUGGUACCACUUGUUGAAUUUGCAAUUUAUUUUUAGAUUUGAGAGGAUGUCUAGGUUUUGCUUAAUUUUUUUGUCUUUUUUAGUUUAAUUAUUUAUAUAUUAUUUUGCUAAAAUACCAAUGUAAUUGGAAAUUGGAAUCCCAUAUGUUUGUUUGCAUUACAUUGAAAUUAUUUUGAACCUUAUACCAAGAAUUUAGAGAUUAAUUAGGGAAAAAAUUUAAUUAAAAGUAAGCAAGUAAUGAAAUUUUUGCUAAUAGGGAAAAUUUUGUUAUUUGCUUUGCUUUUUUGUUGAUUAAAUUAAUUAUUGUUUUGCUGAUAAGGAAAAAAUUUUAGAAACCAAGCCAAAAAGGGUUCAGAUAUAUGGAGGGAAAUAGCUGAAAGUUUUAAUCAUAGGUUUUAGAUAUUUCUUUGUUGUUUCAAUAAUCAGAAUUUAAGCUUGAGAUAGGAACAAGUUAGAGAAAUGUUAAAACUGGCUUGAAAGAAGAUUAUUUCUUGGAAUCUAUUUUGUACCUUAUCUGUUUUGUACCUUAUUUCCUAGAAAUGUUAAUCUAAAUUUCUGUUUUGGCUAAUCAGAAGUUGUAUUGGUUAUUGCAUGUGUUUUGAUUAAGGUACGUACAACUCUCCAUUCAAUUCAUUCCAAGGUUCAUCAUCAAGUCCUGUGACGGAGCAAAAU